GAUCAUCGAACAGAGGACAGGAAAUGAAUGAACAACCUGCAUGCCGAAAUCAAAGCAUCCAAACAGCAAACAACCACAAAUCACAACCCAACACCCAGAAAGCAAGGCUCAAGGAAGGAAAAUCAUAGAAGGCAGAGAUCAAAACCAAAGCAUAAAACACACCCUACCAUCGCCCAGCACAGCCUCGACUGAAAAUAGAGACAAGAAAAGAUGCCAUGGCAUUUACAGUCUAUAUAGC
rnacentral:lncRNA from 1 species